AAUUUGAGUUUUUUGGCUCUGGGGAUAGUAUGAUCGCAAGAUUGAAAAUUAAAGAAAUUGACGGAAGAAUACCACAAGGAGUGGAUUGUGCGGCUUAAUUUGACUCAACGCGAGGUAACUUACCAAUAUUUUAUUAUUUUGAGAGAACGGUUUUUUGUUUGAGAAUGAUAAUAGUGGUGCAUGGCCGUUUUCAAUGGAUGCUGUG
rnacentral:rRNA from 1 species